GUCUAUGGCCAUACCUCCCUGAAUGUGCCUGAUCUCGUCUAAUCUCAGAAGCUAAGCAGAAUAGGGCCUGGUUAGUACUUGGCUGGGAGAACCCCAGAUUUAAUUUUUAUCAUAGCAC
rnacentral:rRNA from 1 species